CUAACAUGGAUAUCUCAGGAGGUCACUCUCGCUGGAUUCUGUCCAUGUGGCACAGGGAAGCACAGGGAUCCACCCCAUGAUGUACAGUCCCUUUCCACAAUGUUGGAGGUAACGCUGGGCUUUUGAGUCUGCAUCUGCAGAUUCCUACAACUUCUCAGAGUCCUGCUGAUGAUGACUGAGGACACAAACCGUGCAGGAAACAUUG